rnacentral:rRNA from 1 species
GCAGCCGCCGCGGGAAUACGAAGGGUGCAAGCGUUAAUCGGAAUUACUGGGCGUAAAGCGUGCGUAGGCGGUUUGUUAAGUCUGUUGUGAAAUCCCCGGGCUCAACCUGGGAAUGGCAAUGGAUACUGGCAAGCUAGAGUGUGUCAGAGGAUGGUGGAAUUCCCGGUGUAGCGGUGAAAUGCGUAGAGAUCGGGAGGAACAUCAGUGGCGAAGGCGGCCAUCUGGGACAACACUGACGCUGAGGCACGAAAGCGUGGGGAGCAAACAGGAUUAGAUACCCCAGUAGUCCCUGUCUCUUAUAC